CCUACGGGUGGCAGCAGUGAGGAAUAUUGGUCAAUGGGCGAGAGCCUGAACCAGCCAAGUCGCGUGAGGGAGUACUGCCCUAUGGGUUGUAAACCUCUUUUGUCGGGGAGCAAAAGCCGGACGUGUCCGGCUGUGAGAGUACCCGAAGAAAAGGCAUCGGCUAACUUCGUGCCAGCAGCCGCGGUAAUAGGGGGGAGUCGAGCGUGAUCCGGUUUUAUUUGGGUGAAAGGGUGCGCAGGCGGAUUUUUAAGUCAGCGGUCAAAUCGUGGGGCUAUACCCCAUCCAGCCGUUGAAACUGGGGUUCUAGAGUGUGCGAGAGGUAUGCGGAAUGCGUGGUGUAGCGGUGGAAUGCAUAGAUA
rnacentral:rRNA from 1 species